GCCGAAGUGGUGGAAUUGGUAGACGCGCCGGACUCAAAAUCCGGUGGGGGCGACCCCGUGUCGGUUCGACUCCGACCUUCGGCACCA
rnacentral:tRNA from 3 species